CUGGAUUAAGAUUUCAGGCAGGUGUUCGACAGCUGCUGAUCAGGAUUGUGGCCAUGGCCACGUGGUCCGUGCCUUCGAAUUGACUGUGGGAAGAACACGCUCGGCACAAGUGCAUUGGCCUACAGGCUACAGUCACUCGUUGUUGAAGAACUCCAGCAUCAUCUGCUUCUGCAGCAAAUGUGUUGCAUUUGUGCAGUACUUUUACCAAAGGAUGAAGAUACUUUUGCUCUGAUAGAAUAUUUACCCAUAAUUUUGACACUUGCUUAUUCCAUUUGUCUUUUCAAGAAGAUUUAAAAUUUCGAUCUGGAUACCUAUACUAAGCACUAAACUAUGAAAGAAUAUUCAACCAUCAUAUAUUUUGGCACUAGUGUACUGCAACAACUAAAGCGGGACUUCCCAUUAUCUUUCCACCACUUGUCACUAUCACUAUGAUAAAGUUUCCGCGUUUGUCUAAAAAAACAGUCUCUGUCUUCUACAUUGGGGGACUUCUACUUCAAUUAGUGGUCAUAUGCAGCAAUAUUUCUAGCUUUCAUUGUCACAUGAGGAUCCAAGUCGCCACAUCAACACCUUUUUGUUUGUCACCUAAGAUAAAAAGAAAAUUUAGCUUAAGUGCUAAACUUUAUCGGGAGUUGAACAGAGUAAGUGAAAAAGGUAACAAAAACGUGCUACAAUAGCAGGAACAAAUAGGGAUGGACAAAUAUUGCGUUUUCCUGCCAACUUAAGCAGAUUAUAGGGCCAGGCCAAGAUUGUAAUCAUAAGGGAACGUCAACUAUCCAGUGCUCACCUUCCUAACCUUCCUAGGAGUUGAAGUUUCUUCAUCUUCUGAAUAAUCACGUUCACCGUCUGAAUCAUCAAGAUAUCAUUUGCGACCAUCAUAGUUUGUCCAUCUCCAAUAUCCCACGGAACUAUUAGGCACCUGUUGCCCAU
rnacentral:lncRNA from 1 species